rnacentral:sRNA from 1 species
UGCCAUAAGGGCUAGUAUUACCCUUAUGGCAUGAUUGUAGCACGUAGCA